rnacentral:tRNA from 1 species
GACGGUGUAGCUCAGUGGUAGAGUGCAUGCUUACCAUGUGUGAAGUCCUGGGUUUAAUCCCCAGUACUUCCA